GGGCAAAUGGGAUAUUGUUAGAUGGGGUAAUUAAAAGAAAUUCUUAUUCAUACCUUGCAAUUGUUAAAAUUAAAGGGUAAAAUUUGGUGAUUUAUAAUAGGUGUUAAGAAGAGUAUACAUAGAAUAUUUUGAGGUUAUAAAGUAUAGGGGACAAAGCAGGAUUAGAUACCCUGGUAUGCCUAUAUGUAAAUAAUAAAGUCUUGGGUAGUAAACAGAUAUGAUCUUGAAACUUAAAGAAUUUGGCGGUAUCUAAGUCUAGUUAGAGGAACUUGUAAUGUAAACGAUAAACCACGAAAAUCUAACUUUAUCUUGUUUUUCAGUUUGUAUACCGCCAUCGUAAGAUAAUUUCCAUAGGAAUUGUCAAAAUAAAAAUGUUUUAAGUAUGUUAGGUAAAGGUGCAGCUUAUGAUAAAGUAUACUAUGAGUUACAAUGUUUUUUAAAUAAACAGAUAUCUUCUUGAAUUAUAGAAGAUUAAAGGCGGAUUUAAUUGUAAUUCUUGUAUAUUAAGCUUUUUUGAUUAUAGCUCUUAGAUAUGUACACAUCGCCCGUCAAUCUCACUUU
rnacentral:rRNA from 1 species